rnacentral:lncRNA from 1 species
CACCAGCAUUGAUACUCCAUCACUUAUGUACUGCAUCAAGCUGUCCUCAGAGGUGAGGAAGGUGCUGUCAAGACUAGAAGCAUGUGUCCCUCUCUCCAUUGCAAGAUGGGACAUAGAGAGGAGAAAAGUGGCAGACAGAAGGCUAAUCUCAACUGGAAACCAGAAGGCUAGAAAUCUUACUGAUGUGAUGUCCAGGGAUACAGAGCAUAUGAAGGAUGCGGAGAGUGGGUCAAAUGGAAGGAAUGUAGCAAAACAUGUAAACUUGAGUAAGUAUUUGAUCUCUUUGAGCCUAUGUUUUUCAAUAUUUGGAUUCCAACAGCCAGCUCAGUGCUGACAGAGUCAGCAAGUUCUUGUUGAGUGGGAUUGUGUCCAUAAAAUAAUGUAUAUAAAAUAGACAAGCUCUAUAGCUCCUUUCAAUUAUGACCUUCUCUGAUUACUAUUUUGUUGAUUGUCCUCAAAUAUUAUUAAAUAAUCAUGCCCUGACCAUAAUAAAGAAGACUUCAUCAUUGCUAAGGAUGAAUUUCACACCCCAAUCUUUAACUCUAUGCUCUGCUAUCUCUUCCAUCUAAAAAUACAAAAACUAAUUGUUCAG